rnacentral:lncRNA from 1 species
UUAUCUGAAAGUGAAUAAGUAAGGAUUAGUCUUGGAUAAUUUGGAAGUGUGUUAUUUGAGAAAUCCAUCGAAGUACUCGAUUUCCUCGGAUAGCUCUACGGAUUCGUAGACAUAUAAACCCUUAUAGCUUCAAUUUUGUGCUCCGUGAUUGACAAAUUCUACAAUACGUAAUGGGAUUCGUUACGAAGAAAAUGAAGAAUUUGGUAUUUUUUCUAAUAGUUAAAAAGUCUCUAUUCAAAAUAAUUUAGUCGGAGUAUGGGUACUAAUCAUACUGCUCAUUACUCGUUUCACAAGAGAUAUCAAGUAUAGUCCUUCAAUGUCUAUAGAACUUGAAUUUUGUAUCAAUUUUAUUCAUGUAUUCUGGAUCAGUGUGAAGUCAUCAUGGAAUAUAGUGAUGGAUUUUUUCCUAUUCAUUUUAAGAGGAGAAUCAUCGUUAGAGAUCCCUUUUCAAAGAGUCUCAAAGAAUGGAGAUUUGCAUUCUGACGUCACGAGGUAAAGAAAGGAACAGCGACAAAUAGGAUAACUCAUAAGCCCCUCCUACACCUACUCCAUAAUGAGGAAAUUUAAGGUUUUUCAUAUUUUCAAGAUCAUUUAAAGAUUCCCCAUUUACAUGCAAAAAGGAAUAAAAGGAUACCUAAUUGCACUGAUAGUCGACGAAAAUUCCGGAUUAUAAAAGUCUGGUACAACUCUAGAACCAAUUAUCCAGAAUUGUUCGAGUAUUCCUGUAACAAAUAAGACUCUUACCCAAUAAUGAUUCAAAACUAUUUUUAAUUGUAUAUUGGCAAAAUGUAAAUAAAUUUAUUUGAAUAAAAUAUAGCUAUUCUUACUUAUUCCAAAAAAGCAAGGAUUACAACCUUGCUUUGAUUUUUAUAUUCAAUAAAAGUUUAGUAUAUCAUACUUAAUAUUCCUGGAUAAAAUAUACUUAUGGGAAGUGAGAUACGCUAAAGUCUUUAGCAAUGAUAAGGAAUUCUUAUAAUACGACGACAGAUCUGCUAAAACUAAAUGUAAGAAUAUUAUAAAAGUAUUUUUUGUUGACGGAAUUAUUAUACCAACCUAUAAUUGAGUAAAAAUCAAUCAUAAUAACCCAGUGCAUUACGAAAUAAGCUGCACUAAAUAUUAAAAAUUGGAAAUGCAUAAUUUUUUUCAUUAUUGAAAGCACCAACCUCUAGUGACAAAAAAAAAUACUAAAAAAUGCAGUAUACAACAAAAACUGCACUGAAAUGCACUUCUCCCUUCCUAAUAGAGGGCUCCCUAUCUACUUUUAAAUUGAAUUUAGGAACCGCGCCAUCUACCUAUAUUUAAAUACAUUUAUUGAUACAAAAAUAUUAUAGAUGUCACACCUAACCCAUUAAAGCGUCACCUAACGGCAAUUACCAAAACUAAAGUGCAUUCCCAAAGUUGUUAUAGAUGUCACUUGUUUGCUAAAAUUGUGCACAACUUUCACAACUAAAUAGACGUCAUUAGGAUUUUUAGGACAAUUUUUAAAAAAAAGAAGCAAAAUGAAUUAAUCACGAAUUAACAAAACAAAAUAGUCGAGUUAUUAUAUAAGGACAGAAAUGUAAGGCUCCAUUGAUAAAGAGUGAAUUAAUGAAUUAAAAAUUAAAUUUGGGUAAAGUUUUUUAAGAGAAAAACUCUGAAAGAUGUGGCAAUUUUAAAUAGGCCAAUGGGGAAAUUUGACUAUGGAAAAAUGCUCAUUCAUUUAAGAAUCUAUAUUGAUUUAUGAUUUAAGGAUAUAUGUAAUAAUAAAUAACUUACCUUUCCCCUAUAUAUGUAUUCUUUAAGAAUGAUCAAAG